rnacentral:rRNA from 1 species
CCUACGGGCGGCUGCAGUGGGGAAUUUUGGACAAUGGGCGCAAGCCUGAUCCAGCCAUGCCGCGUGCGGGAAGAAGGCCUUCGGGUUGUAAACCGCUUUUGUCAGGGAAGAAACGCUCUGGGCUAAUACCCCAGGGUAAUGACGGUACCUGAAGAAUAAGCACCGGCUAACUACGUGCCAGCAGCCGCGGUAAUACGUAGGGUGCAAGCGUUAAUCGGAAUUACUGGGCGUAAAGCGUGCGCAGGCGGUCUUGCAAGACAGAUGUGAAAUCCCCGGGCUUAACCUGGGAACUGCAUUUGUGACUGCAAGGCUGGAGUACGGCAGAGGGGGAUGGAAUUCCGCGUGUAGCAGUGAAAUGCGUAGAUAUGCGGAGGAACACCGAUGGCGAAGGCAAUCCCCUGGGCCUGUACUGACGCUCAUGCACGAAAGCGUGGGGAGCAAACAGGAUUAGAUACCCCUGUAGUC